rnacentral:rRNA from 1 species
AGAGUUUGAUCCUGGCUCAGAUUGAACGCUGGCGGAAUGCUUUACACAUGCAAGUCGAGCGGCAGCGCGGGGGCAACCCUGGCGGCGAGCGGCGAACGGGUGAGUAAUGUAUCGGAACGUACCCAGUCGUGGGGGAUAACUAUCCGAAAGGAUAGCUAAUACCGCAUACGUCCUGAGGGAGAAAGCGGGGGACCGAAAGGCCUCGCGCGAUUGGAGCGGCCGAUAUCGGAUUAGCUAGUUGGUGAGGUAAAGGCUCACCAAGGCGACGAUCCGUAGCUGGUCUGAGAGGACGACCAGCCACACUGGAACUGAGACACGGUCCAGACUCCUACGGGAGGCAGCAGUGGGGAAUUUUGGACAAUGGGCGCAAGCCUGAUCCAGCAAUGCCGCGUGAGUGAAGAAGGCCUUCGGGUUGUAAAGCUCUUUUGUCAGGGAAGAAACGGUGGGAGCUAAUAUCUCCCACUAAUGACGGUACCUGAAGAAUAAGCACCGGCUAACUACGUGCCAGCAGCCGCGGUAAUACGUAGGGUGCAAGCGUUAAUCGGAAUUACUGGGCGUAAAGCGUGCGCAGGCGGUUUUGUAAGUCUGUCGUGAAAUCCCCGGGCUUAACCUGGGAAUUGCGAUGGAGACUGCAAGGCUAGAAUCUGGCAGAGGGGGGUAGAAUUCCACGUGUAGCAGUGAAAUGCGUAGAGAUGUGGAGGAACACCGAUGGCGAAGGCAGCCCCCUGGGUCAAGAUUGACGCUCAUGCACGAAAGCGUGGGGAGCAAACAGGAUUAGAUACCCUGGUAGUCC